GACGAACGCUGGCGGCGUGCUUAACACAUGCAAGUCGAACGGGAUGUAGUAGACAGUGCCCGCGGUGGAAGUGGACAAAUGAGGGUGAAGAACGGGGGAGUAACGCGUGAGCAACCUGACUAUGACAGGGGAAUAGCGUCGGGACACCGGGGGUGAUACCGCAUCAAGUCGGGGGAAGGAAUGUUUUGACGGUCAAAGAUGUAUCGGUCAUAGAUGGGCUCGCGUCUGAUUUGCUGGGUGGUGAGAGAAUAGCCCGCCAAGGCGACGUUCAGUAGCCGGUAGGAGAGGAUGACCCGCCACAAUGGAACUAAGGCACGGUCCAAAAUCCUACGCAAGGGAGCAGUGGGGAAUAUUGCACGAUGGGGGCAACUCUGACGCAGCGACGUCGGGUGAACGAAGAAGGUAGUUGUAUAGUAAAGUUCUGUCCUAUGGGAAGAUAAUGACGGUACCAGAGAAGAAAGCACCGGCUAACUACGUG
rnacentral:rRNA from 1 species